rnacentral:rRNA from 1 species
AAUCGAUCACGUGCAGAGGGGAAUAGCAGGUUGUACGUCUCUGUCAGAGACUACUACUGUUACAUGCUAUAGACACGGCCUGCCAUUUUCAAUCCCAUACUCUGUGGAGCACGCCUGCUACAGCAAUGGGCGGUCGACAUGUAUGUCAAGAUUGAGAGUUGUCGGUUGAGGUGGCUCAGGAAGAACCAGACGCAGAUUCGGGCCGACUUGUAUAAAGGUGUUGUUGAUGCGAUCACAUCGGGCGAGACGCGAGCAAGCACUGUUGGGACAAGAAUAGUG